CACGAACGCUGGCGGCGUGCCUAAUACAUGCAAGUCGAACGGUCUUUUCUAUGGAAGCUUGCUUCCACUGAGAAGAUAGUGGCGAACGGGUGAGUAACACGUGGGUAACCUGCCCAUAAGAGGGGGAUAACAUCCGGAAACGGGUGCUAAUACCGCAUAGUUUUCUUGAUCGCAUGAUUGAGAAAGGAAAGACGGCCUUUGUGCUGUCGCUUAUGGAUGGACCCGCGGCGUAUUAGUUAGUUGGUGAGGUAACGGCUCACCAAGACGAUGAUACGUAGCCGACCUGAGAGGAUGAGCGGCCACAUUGGAACUGAGACACGGCCCAAACUCCGACGGGAGGCAGCAGUAGGGAAUCUUCCGCAAUGGACGAAAGUCUGACGGAGCAACGCCGCGUGAGUGAAGAAGGUUUUCGGAUCGUAAAGCUCUGUUGUCAGAGAAGAACAAGUUGAAGAGUAACUGCUCCAGCCUUGACGGUAUCUGACCAGAAAGCCACGGCUAACUACGUGCCAGCCGCCGCCGUAACAC
rnacentral:rRNA from 1 species